AAUUAGUGACGUGCAUGAAUGGAUUAACGUGAUUCCCUCUGUCCUUGUCUACUAUCUAGCGAAACCACAGCCAAGGGAACGGGCUUGGGAACACUAGCGGGGAAAGAAGAACCUGUUGAGCUUGACUCUAAUCUAGCAUUGUAAAGCGAUAUAAGAGGUGCAGUAUAGGUGGGAGGUAUAAUAAACUUUUGAACUCGCAAGGGCUAGGAUAAUUUUUAUACCAACAAUGAGAUACCACCACUCUUACUGUUGCUUUACUUACUUGGUUAGGUGGAACAAGUGUUAAAUAUCUUAAUUGAUUUUAAUAUAUGGUUUCUUGUUUAACGUAAAAAAGUCGUUAUCUAACAAGAUUAGAUGACCGAUAUCUAAAUUUAUAUGAAAAAUUGGAUUGGGGAAUUUUGGCUUUCGGGUUGGAAUUUUUCUUUGAUAAUCGAGUAAUAUAUAAAUUGGUAUCAACUAUCAUGAUCGUACGGAUAACAUUAAAAGGCUUUCUUACACUCCAUGUUAGGGACAGUGCUAGGUGCGGA
rnacentral:rRNA from 1 species